GCUUGACUGUAGCUUGUAAUUGGGUUCGGGCUUUUUUUGCGCAGCCUAGGUGGGAGGCAACGAUGAUUUUUUUUCCGGAAAAAUUUAAAGCCGUUAGUGAGAGACCACUCUGAAAAGGCUAGAAUCCUAAUAAUGAUCCUUGAAUCAGGACAUUUGACAGUUGCAGGUGGGCAGUUUUACUGGGGCGGUAUUCUCCUAAAAGUAACGGAGGGGUGGCAAAGGUUCCCUCAAGCUGGACGGAAAUCAGCUUAAGAGUGUAAAGGCAAAAGGGAGCUUGACUGCAAGACCUACAAGUCGAGCAGGGGCGAAAGCCGGCCUUAGUGAUCCGACGGUACCACGUGGAAGGGCCGUCGCUCACGGAUAAAAGUUA
rnacentral:rRNA from 1 species